CCUUCUUUUUCUCUCUUUCCUCUUCCUUCCUUUUCUUCCCUCUUUCUCCUUCUUUUCUCUCCUCCCUUUUUUCCCUCCCCUUUCUUCCCCUUUUCCUUUCUCUUGUGACUGGCGGGCUGGAGUACGGCAGAGGGGGGUGGAAUUCCACGUGUAGCAGUGAAAUGCGUAGAGAUGUGGAGGAACACCGAUGGCGAAGGCAGCCCCCUGGGCCGAUACUGACGCUCAUGCACGAAAGCGUGGGGAGCAAACAG
rnacentral:rRNA from 1 species